rnacentral:rRNA from 1 species
AUACGUAGGUGGCGAGCGUUAUCCGGAUUUACUGGGUGUAAAGGGUGUGUAGGCGGAAGAGCAAGUCAGGCGUGAAAACUAUGGGCUCAACUCAUAAAUUGCGCUUGAAACUGUUCUCCUUGAGUGUCGGAGAGGUAAAUGGAAUUCCCGGUGUAGCGUUGAAAUGCGUAGAUAUCGGGAGGAACACCGGUGGCGAAGGCGGUUACUGGACGACAACUGACGCUGAGACACGAAAGUGUGGGGAGCAAACAGGAUUAGAUACCCUGGUAGUCCACACCGUAAACGAUGAAUGCUAGGUGUGGGGGCGCAAGCCUCCGUGCCGCAGUUAACACAAUAAGCAUUCCACCUGAGGAGUACGGCCGCAAGGUUGAAACUCAAAUGAAUUGACGGGG